rnacentral:ncRNA from 2 species
UUGGGUUUUUAAAUGUUUGGCACUACUAUAUGUAGUUUAAAAGGGAAGUUCGGUAUGAUGCCGACGCUGUAUCUUGCAACUGUAAUGCUGACUAUGAUUCAUAUGCUACUAAGUUAUUUGCUUGGGAAGGGAAUCAGAGUAUGAAGCUAAGCCAGGAGACCUGCCUAACACUAUUUUUUUAC